AACAUCCGACAGGGGAGCGCGGAAAGCGCUGAGAGUGCGGCACGGCCGCAGACCCUCGGACCUGAUCCGGGUCAUACCGGCGUAGGGAGUCACCACAUGAGCACC
rnacentral:ncRNA from 2 species